rnacentral:lncRNA from 1 species
GCAUUGGGAAUGUCCAUCACUGGAAUUCUCCAAUGAUGUGGGUACCUCAUGGCUUUGCUUCCUGAAGCCCAUGGACAGACCAAACUGUCGAUUAGUCUAGUUUCACCAUUGCUGUCCCGGUGCCCUAGAUGAUGUGGUAAGAGCGCUAUAUUAAAUAGAGAAAUGUUGUGAUAAGUAACAGAGGAUAUAAUUUCACAGUGGAACAAUGUGAUCAAUUGAGAAGAAA